rnacentral:lncRNA from 1 species
CUCUCUCUGGCUCCUCCCAGACCGCCAGUCUGCAGUGGGUAGGAGGAAGGGGCCACUUAGGCAGGUCCCCUUUGAUCUGGAAGCCCAAGAGGUUUUGGAUCCACUGAUUCAACUGUAUGUUGAAAAUCUGAAAUUAGCAGUAAGAAACAUCUCACUCCUAAAAAUACUGAAUAACUAAACAGAAGUACGAGGCAGCUGGGACUAUUUC